rnacentral:rRNA from 1 species
UGGGGAAUAUUGGACAAUGGGGGCAACCCUGAUCCAGCAAUGCCGCGUGUGUGAAGAAGGUCUUCGGAUUGUAAAGCACUUUCGACGGGGACGAUGAUGACGGUACCCGUAGAAGAAGCCCCGGCUAACUUCGUGCCAGCAGCCGCGGUAAUACGAAGGGGGCUAGCGUUGCUCGGAAUGACUGGGCGUAAAGGGCGUGUAGGCGGUUUACACAGUCAGAUGUGAAAUCCCCGGGCUUAACCUGGGAGCUGCAUUUGAUACGUGUAGACUAGAGUGUGAGAGAGGGUUGUGGAAUUCCCAGUGUAGAGGUGAAAUUCGUAGAUAUUGGGAAGAACACCGGUGGCGAAGGCGGCAACCUGGCUCAUGACUGACGCUGAGGCGCGAAAAGCGUGGGGAGCAAACAGGUUAGAUACCCUGGUAGUCCACGCCUGUAAACGAUGUGUGCUAGAUGUUG